rnacentral:rRNA from 1 species
AGGGUUUGAUCCUGGCUCAGGGUAAACGCUAGCGGCGCACUUAAUACAUGCAAGCCGAACGGAAAUGCAGUCUAAAGUCAAAAGUCUCAAGCUUAGCUUGUGACUCCUAAACUUGUGACUGUAUUUCAGUGGCGGACGGGUGAGUAACACGUAGCUUUAACUAACAUGCCCCCACACGGGGAAUAACCUCCCGAAAGGAAGGCUAAUACCCCAUAAUGCCUUUGGGUUAAAGUGUGAGCGUGUGGGGAGUGGGCUGCGUCCUAUCAGCUUGUUGGUGAGGUAAUGGCUCACCAAGGCUAUGACGGGUAGCCGGUCUUUGAGGACGGCCAGCCACACGGGCACUGAGACACGGGCCCGACUCCUACGGGAGGCAGCAGUAGGGAAUAUUGGGCAAUGCCUGAAAGGGUGACCCAGUGACGCCGCGUGCUCGAUGAAGCCCUUCGGGGUGUAAAGAGCUUUUCUGGGAGAAGAAGGUUGCCUAAGGCAACCUGACGGUAUCCCAGGAAUAAGCCACGGCUAACUCUGUGCCAGCAGCCGCGGUAAUACAGAGGUGGCAAGCGUUACCCGGAUUCACUGGGCGUAAAGGGCGUCUAGGCCGCCUUGUGUGUUAGGAGUGAAAUCCCUUGGCUUAACCAAGGAAUUGCUUCUAAUACUGCAAGACUUGAGAGUGAGAGAGGGAGGUAGAACUGCCGGAGUAGCGGUGAAAUGCGUAGAUACCGGUAGGAAUCCCAAUGGCGAAGGCAGCCUCCUGGCUCACUUCUGACGCUGAAGCGCUAAGCGUGGGGAGCAAACAGGAUUAGAUACCCUGGUAGUCCACGCCCUAAACGAUGCAGGCUAGGUGUUUAAAGGUGCCGCAGCUAACGCAUUAAGCCUGCCGCCUGGGGACUACGGCCGCAAGACUAAAACUCAAGGGAAUUGACGGGGGCCCGCACAAGCGGUGGAGCACGUGGUUCAAUUCGAUGAUAAGCGAAGAACCUUACCAGGGCUUGACAUUUAGCUCUUGAUGCUUUCCCCGAAAGGGGGAAGAAUACUGCUUUGCAGUAGGUGCUAAACAGGUGGUGCAUGGCUGUCGUCAGCUCGUGUCGUAGGACGUCGGGUUAAGUCCCCUAACGAGCGCAACCCCUGCCCUUAGUUGCUACCGCAAGAGCACUCUAAGGGGACCGCCAAAGAAAGUUUGGAGGAAGGAGGGGAUGACGUCAAGUCAUCAUGCCCCUUAUGCCCUGGGCGACACACGUGCUACAGUGGCCACUACAAAGGGAAGCAAACUCGCAAGGGGGAGCAAAUCCCAAAAAAGUGGCCAUGGUUCGGAUUGGAGUCUGAAACUCGACUCCAUGAAGGAGGAAUCGCUAGUAAUCGUGGGUCAGCCAUACCACGGUGAAUAAGUACUCGGGCCUUGUACACACCGCCCGUCACACCAACCGAGUGGGAGGCACCCAAAGUCCCGUCCAGUAAAGGGCCUAAGGUGUCUUUCAUGAGGGGGGUGAAGUCGUAACAAGGUAGCCG